rnacentral:rRNA from 1 species
AUCCAUGCCAUCUCUCCACCCCCAACCCCCCCUCAAGUUGCUCCCCAACUUCCAUUUGCGGCAACGUGAAGGCCCAAGCGAACGCGGAGAGAGGCUCCUGCCCGGCCGGGAUUCCAGAAGCUUCCAGCGCUGUAGCACCCGAGCGCCGGGGCUCGGGGCUGUAGCGCGGCGUGGCGGCCCGCGCGGCGCGCGCUCCUGCGGCCGCGGGCGAGAUCGAGCAGGCGGGGAGCUCGCGAAUCGGGGGCGGCGGCGGCGGAGCGCAAUGCCGCGCCGUCGGCGGUAGGGAUGGCGGCAGCGGAGACGGCGGCGGCAUGGCGAGGGGCAUAGCGCGGGCGGCGUCGUUCGGCGGCCGCGCGACUGCGGCGGGGUGGUUCUCGUACCGGCGCAUCACCGUGGCCGUCUGCCUCGCCAACCUCGUCGCCGCGCUGCUCGUGCUCCGCUCCCUCACCUCCUUCGCCCCCGCGCCCAAACGGGUUGAGGUGGUGCAGUACACGGAGGAGCAGAUUAGGAGGGUGGAGGAGUCGAUCCGGAUUCGCCGCGAGGCCGAGCCCGUCGAGCUCGUCCAGGCGGUGAAGAAGCUGCGCAAGGUUUUCGCACGGGAGGAGAAGAGGCGGAAGGAGCUGCCUCUCGAGCUGAAGCUGAGGGUAUCGUAUGAGCUUGUGGGGCGGCUGAACGGCCUAGGGGAUAACGGCAGUGCCAUCCAGCAACGAGAAGCUCUGGAAUCAUGGCGUGUUGAGACUCUAAAAGAAGCAAAAAGUGCAUCUACUCAGAAUUCAUCAAAUUUGGGCCUCUCCAGUGAGGAAGCACGAUUGUUAAAGCGAGCCCUGGAGUUCAACUGGCAUGCGCUGUUGGAGGAUAUUGGUCUUUGGAUUUCACCAGAAAUCCCACACACCGAGCAUGAUGACAAACCUGAGAAUGAACCAGAAGAAGAAAUAAUAGCUGGUCCACCUUUGCAUCCACAAUGCAACACUGAGCUACAUGCCGAUUAUGGUGGCGCUGCUGUGAGAUGGGGCUUAACGCACCACAAAGAAUCUGCUGCUGAUUGUUGUCAAGCAUGUCUAGACCAGGCUAGGAAUGCCAAGCCGGGUGAAUUAAAGUGCAAUAUAUGGGUAUAUUGCCCUUCAGAGUUUGGUUGCUAUUCACCAGAUAAAUAUGAGCAUAAACAUCAGGAGUGCUGGUUGAAACAGGCUGACCAGCCUAAACUGAACUUCAAAGACAAGUAUUCCGAGUCUUACAGAGAUUCUCAUCCGAGAGCCCCCGUUGUUGUGCCCUGGAUGUCGGGUGUCACCAGCGCAUGAGCAGCUCGUUCAGAGACUGGGAGAUUUGCACUGACGAACCCUCAUAUACCGAUUCUUUCAUUUGCCACGACACUGUUUUGUUUUCCUUGGUGUAUAUGAUGUAAAACUUAGAUUAGACGAUUUGAUGAAAGCAAAAGGGGCUCCUUUGAGGAAGGCUUGUUGAGGUGCAGGGGCCAAGGGACGUGGUGUAGAUGAACUAAAUCCAAUGAUGAUUCAGCUCACGGCCACCUCCCACUUUUCCACUCUACCAGUUGGUUUUCUGUGUUAUCAGCGAGUUGAUCACCAAGCUCCUGUGCUAUUUUCUUUCAUGUAAAAGUGCAUUGUCACUUUGCCAGUCACAUAUGAACAUGGGGUUACGAGUUCACACACGAAAGCUAUAAAAUUUCCGUGCAUGACAUCCUCUCAUGACACGCUGUU